UAAGUUAGAAAGGGCGCACGGUGGAUGCCUUGACACUAGGAGUCGAUGAAGGACGGGACUAACGCCGAUAUGCUUCGGGGAGCUGUAAGUAAGCUUUGAUCCGAAGAUUUCCGAAUGGGGAAACCCACCAUACGUAAUGGUAUGGUAUCCUUAUCUGAAUACAUAGGGUAAGGAAGACAGACCCAGGGAACUGAAACAUCUAAGUACCUGGAGGAAGAGAAAGCAAAUGCGAUUUCCUGAGUAGCGGCGAGCGAAACGGACAUAGCCCAAACCAAGAGGCUUGCCUCUUGGGGUUGUAGGACAUUCUAUACGGAGUUACAAAGGAACGAGGUAGACGAAGCGACCUGGAAAGGUCCGUCGUAGAGGGUAACAACCCGUAGUCGAAACUUCGUUCUCUCUUGAAUGUAUCCUGAGUACGGCGGAACACGUGAAAUUCCGUCGGAAUCUGGGAGGACCAUCUCCCAAGGCUAAAUACUCCCUAGUGAUCGAUAGUGAACCAGUACCGUGAGGGAAAGGUGAAAAGCACCCCGGAAGGGGAGUGAAAGAGAUCCUGAAACCGUGUGCCUACAAAUAGUCAGAGCCCGUUAACGGGUGAUGGCGUGCCUUUUGUAGAAUGAACUGGCGAGUUACGAUCCCGUGCGAGGUUAAGCUGAAGAGGCGGAGCCGCAGCGAAAGCGAGUCUGAAUAGGGCGUUUAGUACGUGGUCGUAGACCCGAAACCAGGUGAUCUACCCAUGUCCAGGGUGAAGUUCAGGUAACACUGAAUGGAGGCCCGAACCCACGCACGUUGAAAAGUGCGGGGAUGAGGUGUGGGUAGCGGAGAAAUUCCAAUCGAACCUGGAGAUAGCUGGUUCUCCCCGAAAUAGCUUUAGGGCUAGCCUUAAGUGUAAGAGUCUUGGAGGUAGAGCACUGAUUGGACUAGGGGUCCUCAUCGGAUUACCGAAUUCAGUCAAACUCCGAAUGCCAAUGACUUAUCCUUAGGAGUCAGACUGCGAGUGAUAAGAUCCGUAGUCAAAAGGGAAACAGCCCAGACCGCCAGCUAAGGUCCCAAAGUGUGUAUUAAGUGGAAAAGGAUGUGGAGUUGCUUAGACAACUAGGAUGUUGGCUUAGAAGCAGCCACCAUUUAAAGAGUGCGUAAUAGCUCACUAGUCGAGUGACUCUGCGCCGAAAAUGUACCGGGGCUAAAUACACCACCGAAGCUGCGGAUUGAUACCAAUGGUAUCAGUGGUAGGGGAGCGUUCUAAGGACAGUGAAGUCAGACCGGAAGGACUGGUGGAGUGCUUAGAAGUGAGAAUGCCGGUAUGAGUAGCGAAAGACGGGUGAGAAUCCCGUCCACCGAAUGCCUAAGGUUUCCUGAGGAAGGCUCGUCCGCUCAGGGUUAGUCAGGACCUAAGCCGAGGCCGACAGGCGUAGGCGAUGGACAACAGGUUGAUAUUCCUGUACCACCUCUUUAUCGUUUGAGCAAUGGAGGGACGCAGAAGGAUAGAAGAAGCGUGCGAUUGGUUGUGCACGUCCAAGCAGUUAGGCUGAUAAGUAGGCAAAUCCGCUUAUCGUGAAGGCUGAGCUGUGAUGGGGAAGCUCCUUAUGGAGCGAAGUCUUUGAUUCCCCGCUGCCAAGAAAAGCUUCUAGCGAGAUAAAAGGUGCCUGUACCGCAAACCGACACAGGUAGGCGAGGAGAGAAUCCUAAGGUGUGCGAGAGAACUCUGGUUAAGGAACUCGGCAAAAUGACCCCGUAACUUCGGGAGAAGGGGUGCUUUCUUAACGGAAAGCCGCAGUGAAUAGGCCCAAGCGACUGUUUAGCAAAAACACAGCUCUCUGCGAAGCCGUAAGGCGAAGUAUAGGGGGUGACACCUGCCCGGUGCUGGAAGGUUAAGGAGAGGGGUUAGCGUAAGCGAAGCUCUGAACUGAAGCCCCAGUAAACGGCGGCCGUAACUAUAACGGUCCUAAGGUAGCGAAAUUCCUUGUCGGGUAAGUUCCGACCCGCACGAAAGGUGUAACGAUUUGGGCACUGUCUCAACCAGAGACUCGGUGAAAUUAUAGUACCUGUGAAGAUGCAGGUUACCCGCGACAGGACGGAAAGACCCCGUGGAGCUUUACUGUAGCCUGAUAUUGAAUUUUGGUACAGUUUGUACAGGAUAGGCGGGAGCCUUUGAAACCGGAGCGCUAGCUUCGGUGGAGGCGCUGGUGGGAUACCGCCCUGACUGUAUUGAAAUUCUAACCUACGGGUCUUAUCGACCCGGGAGACAGUGUCAGGUGGGCAGUUUGACUGGGGCGGUCGCCUCCUAAAGUGUAACGGAGGCGCCCAAAGGUUCCCUCAGAAUGGUUGGAAAUCAUUCGUAGAGUGCAAAGGCAUAAGGGAGCUUGACUGCGAGACCUACAAGUCGAGCAGGGACGAAAGUCGGGCUUAGUGAUCCGGUGGUUCCGCAUGGAAGGGCCAUCGCUCAACGGAUAAAAGCUACCCCGGGGAUAACAGGCUUAUCUCCCCCAAGAGUCCACAUCGACGGGGAGGUUUGGCACCUCGAUGUCGGCUCAUCGCAUCCUGGGGCUGUAGUCGGUCCCAAGGGUUGGGCUGUUCGCCCAUUAAAGCGGUACGCGAGCUGGGUUCAGAACGUCGUGAGACAGUUCGGUCCCUAUCCGUCGUGGGCGUAGGAAAUUUGAGAGGAGCUGUCCUUAGUACGAGAGGACCGGGAUGGACGCACCGCUGGUGUACCAGUUGUUCUGCCAAGGGCAUAGCUGGGUAGCUAUGUGCGGAAGGGAUAAGUGCUGAAAGCAUCUAAGCAUGAAGCCCCCCUCAAGAUGAGAUUUCCCAUAGCGUAAGCUAGUAAGAUCCCUGAAAGAUGAUCAGGUUGAUAGGUUCGAGGUGGAAGCAUGGUGACAUGUGGAGCUGACGAAUACUAAUAGAUCGAGGACUUAACCA
rnacentral:rRNA from 1 species